rnacentral:lncRNA from 1 species
AGGAGUCACAGAGGGAGUUGGCCAAAUGAAACCCAUGACAUACGGUCAAAUAAUUUGGAGCUUUGGAAAAUGACUUCAGUCAACAGUUUCUAGAAUUCUCCCACCAGGAGUCCCAAUUCUGGGAUUUGUUCUCCAAAAAAUUAACUUUUCCAAACUACGGUAUGGAUUGACCCAUUUGGGCUUUAAUUGAUGAGUUAUUACGUCCUCGGAUACCAACUAGCAAGACAUUAUUUUCCUAAAGCCCUUAAGGGACAAAAUGGGGACAACACACGGACUCCACUCCUCCUGCGCUGUUCUCAUUCAUUUCAAUGGAGUUUCAGCCAAAGAAAAUCAAGGAAGACCAGAUUUUUUGUAGCCCCUAAACGGCAGGAACCUCUGGUUCUCUCGCCUCACAGUCAUUCCCUUCAGAAGAGCUUUAAGCGUUCUAGCUUUUUAAUUAUUUCUACCAGCAGAUCUGCUUGCAAGAGGCUACCAUAUGUAGCCAUUUUGCCCAAAGCAGACGGAUACAUUCUGAGAGGGAAAGCAGACGUGUGUGGAUUUUUUUGUCUUUUAAACACGCUAACUAGUUUCAUUCAUUCAUUCAUUCAUACAUACAUAGAUACAUACAUACAUACAUACAUACAUACAUACAUACAUACAUACAUACAUACAUACAUACAUACAUACAUACAUACAUACAUACACCGCUAUUGCGGGUGACUGUGGGGGCACAGGCACAAAGCAGAAUUGACGAGGGCCUAACAAAAAUAAUAGCCUUUCCUUUCCCGCUGCUUCCCGUUGGCGACACGAAAAAAUAAAGGAGGAAGAGGAAUGGAACA